GACGAACGCUGGCGGCGUGCCUAAUACAUGCAAGUUGAGCGCUGAAGGAUUGUACUUUUACCCACUGGGUGAGCAGCGAACGGGUGAGUAAGGCGUGGGGAGUCUUCCUUUUAUCGGGGGACAACAUCUGGAAACGACUGCUAAUACCACAUAAAAACUUUAAACACAAGAUUCAAGUUUGAAUGAUACCAUUGCAUCACUCAUAGAUGAUCCCGCGUUGUAUUAGGUAGUUGGUGAGGUGAAGGCUCACCAAGGCGAAGAUACAUGGCCGAGCUGAGAGGGUGAUCGGCCACAAUGGGACUGGGAACAGGCCCAAACUCCUACGGGAGGCAGCAGGAGGGGAUCUUCGGCCAUGGAGGAAAGUCUGACCGAACAACGCCGCGGGAGUUGAGAAGGUUCUCGGGGUGGAAAACUCUGUUGGUAGAGAAGGACGUUGGUGAGAGUGGAAAGCUCAUCAAGUGACGGUAACUAACGAGAAAGGGACGGCUAACUACGUG
rnacentral:rRNA from 1 species